rnacentral:lncRNA from 1 species
ACAGUCCUGCCCCAGCUUUCUAAGUGCUAGGAUUAUAGGUGUAUGCCACCACCCCCGGCAACCUCACUGUUAUCAAGGGCUAAUGUUUAAAUAUUUAAGUGUAACAGAAGUCAUCCUAGUGUUCUUUAAUGUUUACAUGUCACUCUGCAUGGAAGAAAUUACCUCCAAUGAGGUAUAUGCUGUUCUCCUUUGCGACUUCAGAAAGCUUCUUUGUGGACUCUCCAGGAAUCUUCUCUGCGUAUUCAGGAAAGUAGUUAGUUCCAUAUGGAGAAUUGAAGCACUCCUAGAGUCAUGUUAGAGAAGAAAAGAGGGGAGAAACCAGACAACACAUUUAAACUCCUGCAGAAAGCAGAAAGCAGAAGCACAGCACUUCCAGGUCUGCUUGGAGCAGAUAAGACACCAGCAGGAAAAGACGUGGCUGGAACUAAGAACGUGAUACUGAGGGCAGACAGGCAACCAGCCCUGGAGACCUGGCAGAAGGCUAGCCCUGCGGCUUGUGGAAUUACCAGCUCUUGGACAUCCAGGCCCUUCACAAAUCAUGCUUACUCUGUGACUUGGAAUCCUGAGAUGAUUCUGGAACCCCGAAUUUUACCACUAAUUAGGUAAAGCAAUAAAAGUUAUGCAUUAAAAGUUCCAAGAGCCACAGAAGUCACACUGUUUUAUUAAUUGUAAGUAAGCUGUUUCCUACUCCAUUCUGACACCUUUAUGAUGUUUCUCAUGGAUAGAGAAAAUGGGUGAGGAUGAAACAAAAACAGGGAUAGGACACAGACACUAAAAAUGACAAUGACACUAACAGAAACACACAUCUGCCUUCAGCAAUCCUCUGACAAGUCAGAAAACAAGAGGUUAAUAGUCAGAAAACAUUAACUGGAUUUCAAUUUAAAUUCACUCAUUUUGCAUUUAAGGUCAGUGU